ensembl:lncRNA
UUUGGUUCUUCUUCAAAACUGUCUGUUCCUCUUCAAAAUGUCUUUUGUAUUCACUUGGUAUCGGCUUUUAUUAUCUCCCUACUGAAUUAUUACCAAGACCUCCUGACUAUCUUCUCGACUUUGCCCACUGCUGCAUCCAGCUUGGCCACUACCUUGACAUGAAGCUCUCUAAAAUGGUGGCGUCCUCAUGUUACUCGUUUGACUACAAGCCUCUAAGGCCUCCGCCAGAGCAACAGAAAUACCGUGGAGUGAUGGACUUUUGAACUGAUAAUGAGCAACUAUCAUUUAUAUAAUGAAAUAACUUUUUUCAGAAAAAGUAUAGAUAGGCUACUGUUGAAUGAUGAAGUCUAGAAGCGUCAAGACUAGGAAAACUUAACAAGUUUUAGAGUUGAAGUUUUUCAGUACACUUUAGAGAGCGGUUUCAAAAGACUCUUGGAGUCCAAAGCUCAAUGGCGGAUUGCGGUGAGAGCGAUGUUUAAGAGAGGUGUACUCCAAAGGGCACGGAUUGGUAGUGUGGCCUCCACUUCUCCUGGGAGAUUUCCUCUUCCAGACUCCUCAGCCUGUCAUCGAGCCUCCCACAGGCAGUAAAUGGACCAGGUGAGGAAUUCAUUCCCGGCUGCUUUGAAAGGAUACUGAGUGACAGAGCCCUUGGAAGGCUGCUAUCUCCUAAGCAUGCAGAUGACGGGCUAAUACGAUAACUAUCUGGGAGCUUGCUGACUGUGAAGAGGUCCUGUUCAUUUCCAUUUUGGCUUCUUGAGAGGUUCCUCAAUUGGAGUUGGACACUGCAUGGGCCCACAUUUUGUCCCUGUGAACACAGUUCCAACCAUAAAACAGGCAAAUAGGCAGCUGUGAAUGCUUCUCAGGGGGUACCUCACCCCAACCAUAACUGUCUGAACCCUGAGAACACAAGAGUCAGAGACUGGAGAAAAGUAGAGAUUUUCCUUAUUUUCAUUGCCACUCAAGAGAUGGGAAGGUAGAGUGUUGUUUUUGUUGUUUAAUGACUGCAUACUAUUUGAUUCUCUUUCCAUCAAGAGGUGAGGUCUUUGAAGGCUCCCCUGGAAUCUGGGUGGGCUCUGUGACAGCUUCGACCAGUAGACUAUGGUGGAAAUAAUACUUAUGACUUUCAAGGUUAGAUCAUAAAAGGCCAUGCAACUUCUACCUGGCUCUCCUGGGGCACUUAUCUUGGGGAAAGCCAGUGCCCAUGCAAGAAGAACAAGUAACCUGCACCCACUGUGCUGCAGAUGCUUCAUGAGAGGACUUUGGUCUUCAGUCCCAAUUUGAGCCCCACAAUCCAGUCGUCCCCACCAAGGCACCAGACAUGUCAGUGAGGUUGUCCUGGUCCCUCCAGAUCAGCCCUUCUGCCGGCUGAGAGCCAAUUAGGGACCUUGGUAAAUGCCAGGAGGAACAAAAGAACCACCCAGAUCAACAAGAUCUGAUCUGCUAGCAAAAUGUGGAUGCUGAAAAGUAUAAAUGUCAGAAGACCCAAGGUUUAAGGAGGACACUAAGAAAGAUGUACUACAUUUUUAUUCUCCUCGAGAAAAUCUAUUAUAGUGUUUCAAAAAUAAGAUGUCGUCC